rnacentral:rRNA from 1 species
NNNNNNNUGCCGCAUAGAGGCAGAAGGCCCACGGGUCAUGAACUUCUUUUCCCGGAGGAGAAGCAAUGAUCGUAUCUGUGGAAUAAGCAUCAGCUAACUCUGUGCCAGCACCCACGGUAAGACAGAGGAUGCAAGCGUUAUCUAAAAUGAUUGGGCGUAAAGUGUCUAUAAGUGGCUUUUUAAGUCCCCCGUCAAAUCCUAGGGCUCAACCCCGGACAGGUGGUGGAAACUGACAAGCUGGAGUACGGUAGGGACAGAGGGAAUUUGCGAUGGAGCGGUUAAAUGCGUAGAGAUCGGAAAGAACACCAACGGUGAAAGCGCUCUGCUGGAUUGACACUGACACUCAGAGACGAAAGCUAGGGGAGCGAAUGGGAUUAGGUACCCCUGUAGUCCUAGCCGUAAACGAUGGAUACUAGGCACUACGCGUAUCAACUCGUGCAGUGUUAUAGCUAAUGCGUUAAGUAUCCUGCCUGGGGAGUACAUUUGCAAGAAUGAAACUCAAAGGAAUUGAUGGGGGCCCGCACAAGCGGUGGAGCAUGUGGUUUAAUUCGAUGCAAAGCGAAGAACCUUACCAGGGCUUGACAUGCGGCGAAUCCUCUUGAAAGAGAGGGGUGCCUUCGGGAAUGCGGACAUAGGUGGUGCAUGGCUGUCGUCAGUUCGUGCCGUGAGGUGGUGGGUUAAGUCCCAUAACGAGCGCAACCCUCGUGUUUAGUUGUCGACUUAAGUUUGGAACCCUGAACAGACUGCUGGUGUUAAGCCAGAAGAAGGCGAGGAUGACGUUAAGUCAUCAUGUCCCUUAUGCCCUUGGCGACACACAUGCUACAAUGGCCGGGACAAAGGGUCGCGAUCCCACGAGGACGAGCUAACCCCAAAAACCCGUCCUUAGUUCGGAUUACACGUUGCAACUCGCCUGUAUGAAGCAGGAAUCGCUAGUAAUCGCCGGUUAGCCAUGCGGCGGUGAAUUCGUUCUCGGGCCUUACACACACCGCCCAUCACACUAGGGAAGUUGGCUAUGUUUGAAGUCCAUACCUUAGCCGCAGCAAGGAGGGGGAUGCCGAAGGCCAGGGUUAGUGACUGGAGUGAGGUUGUAACAAGGCAGCCGUAUUGGAACGUGCGACUA